UGAUUUCUGUUUUUUGUUUUAGAAUUUCGCUUAGCCAUGUCAAUAACACUUUACGUUUUUGUGCACAACAGUGACAUCCAGAAGGAAGUUAUAAAGGAAACACCAGCUGAUACAAGUGCUGCAGAAGAAUUCAAUCGAAUAUCAGGAAGAAAUGUGAGAUGCAAGUUCUACGCUGGAUUGGACACACACUGCUCGUUUAAUUGAAAUUAAAAAAAAAAAACAGGAGAAAAUUGCAGAAGAAAACUAGAAGAGAUUUUGCAACAUGUUUAUUCAAAGUCAUCUGAUGUAAUGCUUGUCCGCACAGCAGUUCUCCGGGGUCUUUCAGUCCUUUAGAGGGAUGAGUCUAAAGAAAUUUUCAGGAUGUGUUUUGAUGUAAUUGUAGAGUCGGACUUCAGUGCAGAAGAUGUAGGCCUGCUGCCUGUCAUGUGUGAAGAUGUCUAAAGAACCGCAUUAUGGAUGCAAUGUGGGCCUUUAUACUGGAAGGAAAAGUGGUUAUGGACUUUGCCACAUGCAGUAUGUCUCUUUUUUUGCUUUGAUUUACACACUGAAUUCGGACUACCCAAAGACUUUGAGCAAUGCAUUUGAAUUUGUUCAACGUGUGUUGCUUUUGCUGGGAGGGAAGCUUAAUGUGUUUUUAUCUGCGAGUGCCUAUAUACUGCUGUGCUUUAUGUUUAAAGGUUCAGGUAUAAUGGCAUGUUUAAUUACAAAGUGUUGCUUUUUAACAUGUUGCUGUUUGCAGUGUUACAU